rnacentral:ncRNA from 2 species
AUCUUAUCACGAGAAGGCUGAGGGACUGGCCCAAUGAAGCCCGGCAACCUGCUUUUACGUUGAAAAAAGCAAGGUGCUAAUUCCUGCAGGAUGAACCGUUUCAUUCUGAAAGAUAAGAU